rnacentral:rRNA from 1 species
AUGCCUUGUUUUAAGCUGCCCCGAGGCCUAAUCGAACACUUAAACAACCUUCUCCGGAAGUUUUGGUGGGGAAGUAAAAGGGGCCAGAGAAAGCCAGCUUGGGUGUCUUGGAAGAUUGGGGAAAUAGGAUUUCGGGAUAUUGAGCUUUUUAACCUAGCUCUACUAGCCCAUCAAGUUUUGAGACUUUUGCAAGAGCAUGAGUCAUUAAGUGCACGAGUUCUGCGAGCUUGUUAUUAUCCGGAUAGCAGUGUGGUUGAGGCCACACUCGGUGCUCAUCCCUCCCAAGGGCUAAUCAGGAGGAUCGGGUCGGGCAUGGAUACACAUAUCUGGGAUAACAAUUGGCUUCCCUGUGAUUAUAAGCUUAGACCUAUAUGCUCUAUCUCUCCUGAUCCGCCGCAGUAUGUCUCAGAGUUGAUUGAUGCAACUACUCGCACAUGGAACAAACAAGCACUGAUCGAGCAUUUUGUCAGGCCGGAUGUGGACAUCAUUAUGAAUAUACCCUUAAGCUCUCGAGUGCAACAAGAUUUCUGGGCUUGGCACUACGACAUGCGAGGUUUUUUUACUGUACGAUCGGCAUACAAGAUGAUCAGUGGGAUCAAACAUCAGCGUGAGGAUUGGUUGGAGCAGAGAACUGGUCAUUCGAAUGUUGAAGCUGACUGCAAGUCAUGGACUCAUUUAUGGAAGGUGAAAGUUUCGUCUAAAAUACGAGUUUUUGUGUGGAGAUUAGCAUAGAUGUCAUUACCUACUGGUGUCCUUCGCAGCGAACGCAAAAUGGCUACAACCCCAGCUUGCGGACUGUGCGCCGAGGCGGUGGACUUCUGGAGACAUUCCUUGUUUGAAUGCCGGAUGGCGAGGUGUGUGUGGGCGCUUGGAGAUGAGGAG